UGCCAAACAUCCUGGGUAUUCCAGGGCAAAAUGGUGGCCCCACUUAGCUGUACAGAUGGUCUCUCUCUCUCUUCUGGAAGCCCCUAAGUAUUUGCCUGCAGAGCUUGACAAGAGCCAAAGAAUAUUGCUUUUGAGUUUAACAAAUUCACCAAAGGAAUUUGGGGCUAUAUCUCAAAACAAUUUAAGGAGUUGCCUUACUUAAUGAAACCCCCAUGCCAGCCUUUUUAAGUUGAUUGUAAGGACACGUGAAAAGGAUCUAAAAAGAUGAAAAGAACCCAACUGCACUGGAAGAUGCUCCUGGUGAAAUUCUGACAGAGGGAUGUGGUACAGAGCUGACAAAAGGAGAGGAUCAAUCAAAGAGUUUGAGAAAGGAAAGGUACAGGACAGAGCUAGGACUAGAACUCCUGGCAGUCCCUUUCCUGGACUUCUGGUCCUCAGUUCCCUAAUAUUGGGAGUGUUCAUGGGACAUCAAAGACAAGGGCUGAAUCUUUGUGAUUGGCUCUCGACAGCAUCAUUUGGUCACCUGAGUUGGUGCUUCACCGUCUUUG